CCUGUGGUAGGCAAACAUGUGCCAAUAAUGGGUUCAUAACAAAAGUCAUAACUAGAGUUCUGAAUAUUGUUUCUUUUAUGUAGGUCAGUGCAGAGAUAUUUGGCACAUUGUCUGCGCUUGAGAGAGCCGCUGCUCCGACUUUCACAUGGAUGACGGUCUAUAUUUGCUCCCCGAUUUGAAGACGCUGCAGCUACGAGGACAGAAGGAAAUGUUCUGCAUACUUUGGCCACAGGUUCUGGAAAAUCUGCAAAAAGCAUCUUGUAAUCAGAGGGAAACCCCAGUUUGCAGUGGGUCUGAUGGCGUAGAAGGUGUUAUCGUCGGCGUGCAAAUGGAUACUACAAUACACAGCUGCCUGGUAACGCGUGCGACCUUCCUGUCAGACUCGUUCCUCUAACUCCUGCCUUCACCAUCUCCUGCCAGACCAUGGACACAUGCCAUUUUGGAUGCAAGUUUGUUUCCCCUCAUGUCUUCAACCCAUGCUGCAGCCUAUUCUUUCGCAUAUGGCCGGUUGCCAUGAGUCAGCAGCAGCGGUCAGAGGUUUCCACUCCUAGACACAACAGCCAAUCCGGGAAAAAACAACUCUCUGAUGCCUCAGCCUUCCUAUAUUGUCUGGGAUGAUUCCGAGUCGGGAGAGGGCUAAUUGUUUGGGAUGUCUUUGUAGUGCAGGUUCAUUGCUGCGGAAUGCGGGGAUUUCCUCCCUCGUGGGUAUUUUUAGAUCUCUGUGUGAAUUCAAGAGAGCUCUGCAUAAUGCUGCUCACUGUGGGAUCUCAGGGUGGGGUCUUUACAUUCAUGCACAUGUGUGGGAAUCUGGUCAUAUGAUAAUACAGAGGACGUGACUGUUUGCGGGUGACUGUGUAUCAGUGUGUUUUUUGUGCAGAAUCAUACUCAUGUCAGGCAAAUGGGAAUGAGUGUAGAGCAUGAGACUCAAACCGUGGCUGAUAGAGACGGAUGUUUCAUUUCAAAUUUCACAGUGUGUUUACGCUCCGUUUCCGGUUUGACAGCUCCAGAUUGACCUGCUCAGAACAGGUCUGCGGUGGACACUGCUUGUUCGCUCAAGUGUUUCAAGGAGGCUUCGCAGGGUCACCUGGAGGUCUCUGACCUCCCAGGGUAAUGUUCUCCUCCAGGUCCUUCUCUUUGACAGCGGUCAAUGGGGGCGUCCAUGCAGGGGACAGCCGGGCGGAUGGCCGGGGUGAAAUCGGGGAAUAGACAGGUCAUAUCCAGAUGGACCCGUCACCUCCGAAUCAAACCAAGUUAGAUCUCCUUCCGGUUCUCGCUCACACCCUGUCAACUUUGCUGACAGCGAGUGACACUGUGGCUUGACCUGCCUUCUGCAGAGUUUGGAUGCUGGAUUGUAUAAUUGGCUGUGUGUUGUCAUGAGUAGUUGUGUGUGUGUCUUCCGCAAUAAACCACUUUAUUUUGUGCUGCACUUGUUUAUCAGGAGAAACUCUUCCAAUAUUGAUUGAUCUUCUACAGAAUGAUGAUCUGCUUAUGAAUCCAGCAUGACCAUCGGUUUGUACCUGACAGUUGGUUGCUAGUGGGAACUCCAGGCUCUGGUUGCUUGUGUUACUCUCUUGUUUAUCUCCCACCUCAGGUCCAAAGUGGUGGAUGGUGUUUCCUUGCUAUAAACGUUGCUCCCAUUAGCCGUCGCCAAGAGUUAUGAUUAUUUUAACUUGCAACGCCAGGUUUUUUUUCCACCUAUCUUUGCUACACGUUGCUUGUCUCUUCCUGUGUGUAUGCCCAGGAGUCUCCUGCUUUCGUGCUUUGUGCUUAAUUCCAGCUAACAUGCUCACAAUUUUGUAGCAUGAGUAAGAUUGAGGAGUUUUCUCUAUCUAAUCUCAAGAUAAAAUACACAAUCUCUACUUUCCAUUUUUAUACAGACAGUCAUACAGUUAACAGUCUUGAGACACUGUUUCAGUCUGGACCAGAUAAUCCCAGUUAAUCUCUAACUAUUCCAGACUUUUUGCAAAAAACACCUAUUUAGGACAUACCCAAAGUAAACUGAGUCAUGUUCAUGGACAUGUUGGAGCUGAUUCAUGGUCUUGGUCUCGUUUGAAAGCCAAAACUCUGAGAUUUCUUUCUUAAAAUUCAGAAUCACUCUAAGUGGUAUUGUUCUUGAGUAAUCAGUUGGCACAGCGUUAAAAAAUAAGAAGUUGUUGGGUUCGCCUGAAUUUUUUUUGUUUUGAAAAGCUGUGUUGUUUGUGUCCACUAUGUAUGUUGAAUCCUCUAAUGACUUUUAUCAAUGAAAUCAGAAGAAUUGCAUGCAGCAUUUACUCAAACACAAACUCGUGUACAGAGCUCUGAUUGGCUCAAUGAGCUGCUGCUGUCCCAUAUACGACCCAGAGCAACGUUAAAUUAAGUGAAUUACACUUCACAAUGUAUGGAUCUGAAUUUAAGCCUGUAAAUAAAAAAAUAAAUAAAUGAACACAUCCAAAAACGAAGGCAACUGGACUGUUCAGUUGUAAAUGACAGUUCUAAAUUUAGGUCAUUAGCAGACCCUUGUUAUUUGAGAUUAUAAGUGUGCACUAACCACAGAUGUUUCUAAGAAAAAGAUAAACUCCUCACCAGUCUUUUAGAACUGAAGAAGCCACUUGGAUGAGUAGUGUAAUUAGUGUCUUCAAGAAAACUCAAACAAGUCCAGUUGCCUUUGUUUGAGCUUCGUUUUUGUAUAUGUUAAUUUUUUAUUUUGUAGUAUUUUGUUGUAAAUUCUGAUCCAUCCUUUGUAAAGUGCAAUUCACUCUCUGUCCAGUUUAGUCCAGUUGCCCUCAUUUUAGUUUUGUACCAUGACCUGGAUGACCGAGAAUUUUCACAGUGAAAAAUCUUUAGUAUUAUCUUCCAACUUGUUAAAAAAAACACAUAUUUGUUACUAGUUUUUUAAUCCUCACAUAUUAAAACACGGAAUGAACAAG